AACGCUAGCUGGUGUGUGUGAGAAGUGGUUUUAUAUUAAAAAAAAAAUAGACGAGAGUUUUUCAUGUCUCCCCCUUUUGUAUUAUGCGGGGAUUUGCAUGAUGCAAUUUGCAUCCAAGAGGAUCAUAUCAUACAGAUAGUAUAGAUAGGGAGAAGAAGAAAGGAGGAAAAUACAAGAUGGCGGCUGCUUCCACUUCCAGGGCCUUGUUCCUUGGCUACAGCAGCACCAGCUGCUGCUGCUUCUGCCAUGGCAAUCCAAGACUGCUCUUUUCUUCUUCCUUUCUCCUCAAAUUUCCCUUACUUUCCCCUGCUACUAAUAUCCGCACCUAUCCGCCUCCCUCUUCCGCCUCCGGAGGCUUUACCACCAGCAGCUCCUUCUCCUCUAUUUCUUCUUCUUCCUCCUUGAGGUGCGCUCAAGAAACCCUGUCCACCCAAUUAGCUAAGGAACCCGAGCCCUUGCUCAGCCGCCGCCGCCGCCGCAUCAAUGUAGUCGAAACCCUGGAAGAAAGGGGCUUACUCGAAUCCCUAACCAGCGACAAUCUCCGGGUCGCCUGCUCCGACCCGGAUCUCCCUCCCCUCCGGGUCUACUGCGGCUUCGACCCGACCGCCGAGAGCCUCCACCUGGGCAACCUCCUCGGAAUCAUCGUCCUCUCCUGGUUCCUCCGCUGCGGCCACAAGGUCGUCGCCCUGGUCGGCGGCGCCACCGCCCGCGUCGGCGACCCCUCCGGCAAGAGCUUGGAGCGCCCCGAACUCGACCCCGAAACCCUCCGCAAAAACACCGCCGGCAUCGUGGAAACCCUACGCCGGAUUCUUGGCCCAGACGAUUCCUCCUUUGCGGUAUUCAACAACUACGAUUGGUGGAAGGACGUGAAACUGCUCGAUUUCUUGAAGAAAGUGGGGCGGUUCGCGAGGGUAGGAACGAUGAUGGCGAAGGAGAGCGUGAGGAAGAGGCUGGAAUCGGAGCAGGGAAUGAGCUACACGGAGUUCACGUACCAGCUGCUUCAGGGAUACGAUUUCGUCCACCUGUUUGAGAAGGAAGGGGUGAAUGUUCAGAUUGGGGGAAGCGAUCAGUGGGGCAACAUCACCGCCGGGACCGACCUCAUCCGCAAGAUUGUUCAAUCCGACGCCAGCGCCGCUGCGUACGGCUUGACGUUUCCGCUUCUGCUGAAGAGCGACGGCACCAAGUUCGGGAAAUCGGAAGACGGCGCCGUCUGGCUCUCGCCCGCCAUGUUGUCGCCGUACAAAUUCUAUCAGCAUUUCUUCUCGGUGCCGGAUUCAGACGUGGUCAGAUUCCUGAAGACGCUGACAUUCUUGAGCAUGGGGGAGAUAGCGACGGUGGAGAGGGAGAUGCGGCGGCCUGAUUACGUGCCAAAUUCCGCUCAACGGCGGCUAGCGGAGGAGGUUACGCGCUUCGUCCACGGCGAGGAUGGAUUGGAGGAGGCGAUCAAGGCUACUGAGGCGCUGAGGCCCGGCAAUGCGGCGGUGGAGAGACUGGAUUGGGAGACGAUCGAGCGGAUAGCGGGAGAUAUUCCGUCGUGUUCUCUGGAUUACAGCCAGGUGUUGAAUACAUCCAUUGUUGAUCUUUCGGUUUCAACUGGUUUGAUGCAGACGAAAUCAGCUGCGCGGCGGCUGGUGAAGCAGGGGGGGCUGUAUCUGAAUAAUGGCAGAGUUGAUAGUGAUGCGAAGAGGGUUGAGGCAGAUGACAUUGUUGAUGGGAAGAUUCUGCUGUUAUCGGCUGGCAAGAAGAACAAGAUUGUCGUGAGAAUAUCGUAUUGAUUUGAGGAUAUUCACAAGCUUUGGUGCAAGGUUGAGCUGAGAUCAUGAGAUGAAAAUGAGAUGAAAAUGAGAAGAAAGUGCAGGCUUUGGUGGCCAAACCAUUUCUUGUCUGCUGAACCUGCAUCCUCAUUUUUCUUGUUUGGUAUUCCAGGGCUUUUGCAUGAGGUUUAUGAAUUGCUACACAAUCAGUUUGGGGCAUGGAUUUUUAGUGAGAAAGUAAAGGAAAAUAAGAUGUUUUCUCGUGUUCCGAAGGGAAAAGAAAAAUCACUCAGGGGAACCCACUCUUUUCUCUUGACUCUUGCUUGCUCAUUUAGUUGCUCUGGAAGAAGAAAUAAGAUUCACCAGAAUAUGUAGUAUUUGUGUUUUUUAAGAUAAGUUGGAGUUGGAGAAAUUGUAAUUAUUUGAGAAUUGAUUUGAUUGUUGUAAAAUAAACCAUAUUAAGUAGAAUCAUGUAGUUUAUAGAAGAGCUCCUGCUGAAGUGAGGGCGUGCUGUCCGCAGUCCU